UACGGAGGGUGCGAGCGUUGUCCGGAAUCACUGGGCGUAAAGGGCGCGUAGGCGGCGCGGGCAGUCAACGGUGAAAGCUUGGGGCUCAACCCCGAGUCGGCCGUCGAUACUCCCGGGCUCGAGCACUGUAGAGGCAGGUGGAAUUCCGGGUGUAGCGGUGGAAUGCGUAGAGAUCCGGAAGAACACCGGUGGCGAAGGCGGCCUGCUGGGCAGUAGCUGACGCUGAGGCGCGACAGCGUGGGGAGCAAACAGG
rnacentral:rRNA from 1 species